UCUUCUCAGGUGAGCCAAUCAUAUAUGAUACGCCUGCGCGCGCGGUCGCUUGCGUGUCAUGUUGACAAACGCUAAAGACGGAGCUGGCAACAUGUCCGCCACUGCUGCUGCUCAGCAAAACAAUAACGAGGAGCCUAGCCUAAACGGGUCAUGGGUGGAGCUGGAGAUGAAUGGAAACAACAGGAACCAGGCCCUGCUGCCAAACUCCACCACACCCACUCCUGCCCCGGGGAACGGGAAUGAGGGGGAGUGUCGGGCCCCUCAGGCCCUGGAGGUGGUGUCAGAGGAGGUGGAGGAGAGUCUGACAGCGGCGCUGGAGCAUGUGCCCUCAUCCUCCUCUAUCCACAAUGGAGACAUGGAGAAGAUCCUGCUGGACGCCCAGCACGAGUCCAGCCAGAGCAGCUCCUCCUGCGACAGUCCUCACAGACCUCCCAGUCCAGAUCAGGAUGACGGCCAAAUCACCUUUGAUGUGGAGAUGUCCAGUCGGAGAGGGAGCCAGUUAGAGGAGGAAGGUCCAGAGAAAAACAAAGAAGAUAUCAUGAUGAACAAAGUUGCAGAUUGGUCCAGUCGGCCUGAAAACGUUCCACCCAAGGAGUUCCACUUCCGUCACCCCAGACGCUCAGUAUCCCUAAGCAUGAGAAAUAGUGGAGCCAUGAAGAAAGGGGGUAUCUUCUCUGCUGACUUCCUCAAAGUCUUCAUCCCUUCCUUACUGCUAUCUCACAUUCUUGCCCUUGGCAUUGGGUAGACAUACCUUUGCAAAGCAACAGCGGCUCUCUAUAUCCCCUCACGAUCAUGCAUUCUUCUGCCUCUUCUGUAGCAGGCAUAAGAGACUGGACAAGGGUCUACAUUGGGAAGAGACUCCCCACGCCUUCCACCAGCUCUUUCUAAACCCAAAGUGAAGCAGUACCUGGAAGUCGCAUCAAAAUGAUCCUGUUGACUAGUUGUUACAAUGUCUUCAUGUGCUUAAAUGUCCUCUUUUCCUCUGCAUCCAUUGUAUGCCUAGCUAUCUCCUUUCAACUGUUUUUUCCCCCUUUUUAGUUAUUUGUACCACUAUCUGACAAUGACUUACCCAAGUGUUUUGAUGUAGCGUGCUUUUGCAGGGUUCAUAAUUCAUAAAUGACUGGGAACCUUUUACCUUUUGACACAGAUUGGCUUUGAACAGUAAUGACCACUAGCAGCACAUAAUAGUUAACAGCACCUACCUGAAUCUGAGUGUUGUACUUCUGGACAAAAUUAUUCCUCAAAAGCUGUUUAUACUGUACUGCACAAACACUGUGACUGGUAUUGGAUGGCACAGGGCCUGAAGGUUUGGGAAUUUCUCUUAGAUUUCUACACAGAUUACUUGGCUUAGACCUAGAGAUUGUGCUUUGAGAAAUCAAGAAUUCCUCUACUGCUCCCUACUCCAAGUCAGGAAAUUUCAUGGUGACUUUUACCUGAACCAAAAUAAGCUACAUAUCUGCAGUACGUCUUUCAAUUGCCAUUGAGAAUUGCAGUAACUGUGAAUCAAGUGGUAUUGUUGUUCGGAUUUGUUAUUUUAUUACAUGGUUUGGAAUAAUAUUCAGCCCAGACUUAUCAAUUCAGGAGAAGUUUGCCUGUAAUUCCAGCCUAUUCUAGUUAUACCUAAUUUGUGUCAUUUAGUAGCCCCAGAUAAUUCUCUGAAGGUGGUCUCUUGGUGAAAGGGUGUAAAUAGUGAUGCUAGUAGCUACUGCAGAUUUCCAUUGAUUAACAGGAAAACAUCCCAGUAGAUAGAUGCAGAAAGAAUAGUACAUCUAAAUGCAGUACAGGGUAAAGUACGGGGUAAGGGAAAGUUUGAAUGAAGACUUUAUGUACAGUAGUUGAUAUCAAUAUACACAACCUGCCUGUUGUUCAACAACUCAUGUGUCAAUGCCACACAUUCUUUUGUUUUUCAUAUCUAAUUUAUUUUCUCCAAGCUGAUUCUAUAAACCUUUUGAAUGUAAGUUUUCCUGUGUGGUAACACACCCUAAGUGUAUAGGUCCAGCCACCAUACAGAGUAGGAUGUAUUGGUGGAAUGAUGUUAAAACUGAAUUAUUUGUGGCCAGUUAUGUUUCCUUUUGGUACACAAAAUGACUACUGCAUAGUGCCAAAUAUAGAUUUAUUUUAAUCUCAGCACUUUCAUUACAAAGGUAACAUGCACAGUGAUUUCUCAACUAUUGGAUAAGUUUAACACAAUCUGUUUCAUGCACUCAUCUCCAGUCCUGAUAAGUCACCUACCUGGUUUUGACAUGUCCUCCGGUGAACAUUUUGUGUAUGCAUGAAAUAUGUUUCCAUUCCCCAAAGGCAUACAUUUCCAUAAAGCAGACCAUAUGUAAGUAAUGAUUUUUGGAUAAAUCUUUAACAAUGACCUAUUUGGUACUGAAAUAAUUUUAUGAAAUCUGAUAAAAGGACCCUUUUUCUUUUUUUUGCAAUAGUAAAAGCUUCUUUUUUUUCAUACACUAAGUAAUUAUUCUCACAUAGCGUGCGAUAGGAACUCCUGAGAAAGUAUCUUUACAGAACCAGCACUCCACCCCUGCUUGGUUAUUUAGGGUUUAGUUUUUUUUUUACUUUGGGGGGGAAGGGUGAGUGGACAAUGGGGAUAGAUGUGAUGAUUGUAGUAGGGUUAUUUUUUUGAGUGGGAUUGUUUUUUGUGCCUCUGUUCUUGGUUUGUGCCAACUCAAAGUAACUCUCAUUGCAUGCAUGCCUUUAGCUUGUAAUUGGCAUUGAUUAACUUAUUAUCAUUCAUAAGAUGCCAAAGGCUGUCAUAGCUUUCAUUUAAUAUUGUCAAGUCCAUCCUGUAUCUAACGCAGAAGUAUGUGCAUUAUCAUUGGUUUCAUUUUUUUUCUUUGAUAAUCCAAAAUACAAACUGAAAGAUGCUUGGUCUUUUCCUUGAACAUGUUUUGUUUGUGAUAUUGAUUCUAGUAGCAAGAACUUUCAGCCUUGUUUGAUCGUUUUUCCAAUUUGAUGAAAAUCUGACAUUAAAAUGAGAAAUUAACCGCAA